AUGUUCAUGGUCUUCAUGUUUUGUUUCCUUCAUCUGCCGGGGAAUAACGGCGUCUCUCAUACCGCCAGUGUCCUCCAAACACCUCCAUUCAUCAUUAAGAGAACUGGUGAAUCUGUUGUCAGUGAGAUCUACUGCUCACACAGCAUAACAAAUUAUGAUAACAUUCUCUGGUACAAACAGGACAAAUACAAAUCUCUGAAGUUUCUCGGAUAUCUAAACCUGAACUUCCAAAACCCCGAGGAAGACGUGAAAGGAAAAAUCAGCUUUGAUGGAGAUGGCCGUAAACAUUCGAACCUGACUAUAUCUAAUGUUUCAUUAAGUGACAGCGCUGUGUAUUUCUGUGCUGCCAGUUAGCACAGUGCUGCAGAUUCCCCUCAGCUCACUACAAAAACCCUUCAUCUGUUUGGCAGGCAGACAAAACGUUCAGGCUCUUCAACACCUGCAGCCUGACUUCAACUAAACCAAGACUUGAAGAUUUUAUCAACUGUUUUGACACAUUUUUGACCCCCUCUGAGGUCCUGUUGUAGGCCCACAGUUCAACAUACUGUAUUGUUGUCAUAAUCCUUUGAUGUGCAGAACAUAAUGUUUGUGAUAUGUUUUAAGGUACAGUACAUCAUUGUUGUUAUUGACAGAGAAAAAAUGGUCACUUCUACUUCUUCCAACUUGUAGAAGAUUUAAAUUCAUAUUAAUGAUUAUAUGUUGAACAUUCUGCCUGUAUGCAGAGGAGUUAUUGUUGGUCCUUUAACAUGACAUGUAAUUGUUGACCCUGACAGGUCUAAUUGAUGUGAGUGAUGUCACCCAGACCCCUCUGCUGUGGAGCAAAGAGGGUCAGUCUGCCACAAUGGA